rnacentral:lncRNA from 1 species
CUACUUUUUAUCCCUUGUCUCCGGGUGGUGUUGGACAGAUCACCCCACCUCUUGGCUGGUUUUCCCAUCAUAUGAUUCCCGGUCCUCCUGGUCCCCACACAACUGGCAUCCCUCAUCCAGCUAUUGUAACACCUCAGGUCAAACAGGAACAUCCCCACACUGACAGUGACCUAAUGCACGUGAAGCCUCAGCAUGAACAGAGAAAGGAGCAGGAGCCAAAAAGACCUCACAUUAAGAAGCCUCUGAAUGCUUUUAUGUUAUACAUGAAAGAAAUGAGAGCGAAUGUCGUUGCUGAGUGUACUCUAAAAGAAAGUGCAGCUAUCAACCAGAUUCUUGGCAGAAGGUGGCAUGCCCUCUCCCGUGAAGAGCAGGCUAAAUAUUAUGAAUUAGCACGGAAAGAAAGACAGCUACAUAUGCAGCUUUAUCCAGGCUGGUCUGCAAGAGACAAUUAUGGUAAGAAAAAGAAGAGGAAGAGAGAGAAACUACAGGAAUCUGCAUCAGGUGGAAAACGAAGCUCAUUCCCAACGUGCAAAGCCAAGGCAGCGACCCCAGGACCUCUUCUGGAGAUGGAAGCUUGUUGAAAACCCAGACUGUCUCCACGGCCUGCCCAGUCGACCCCAAAGGAACACUGACAUCAAUUUUACCCUGAGGUCACUGCUAGAGACGCUGAUCCAUAAAGACAAUCACUGCCAACCCCUCUUUCGUCUACUGCAAGAGCCAAGUUCCAAAAUAAAGCAUAAAAAGGUUUUUUAAAAGGAAAUGUAAAAGCACAUGAGAAUGCUAGCAGGCUGUGGGGCAGCUGAGCAGCUUUUCUCCCCUCAUAUCUGCGUGCACUUCCCAGAGCAUCUUGCAUCCAAACCUGUAACCUUUCGGCAAGGACGGUAACUUGGCUGCAUUUGCCUGUCAUGCGCAACUGGAGCCAGCAACCAGCACAUCCAUCAGCACCCCAGUGGAGGAGUUCAUGGAAGAGUUCCCUCUUUGUUUCUGCUUCAUUUUUCUUUCUUUUCUUUUCUCCUAAAGCUUUUAUUUAACAGUGCAAAAGGAUCGUUUUUUUUUGCUUUUUUAAACUUGAAUUUUUUUAAUU